CGUAGGCGGUUGAGUAAGUCAAAUGUGAAAUCCCCGGGCUUAACCUGGGAACUGCAUUCGAUACUGCUUAACUAGAGUAUGAUAGAGGGAAGUGGAAUUUCCGGUGUAGCGGUGAAAUGCGUAGAUAUCGGAAGGAACACCAGUGGCGAAGGCGACUUCCUGGGCCAAUACUGACGCUGAGGUGCGAAAGCGUGGGGAGCAAACA
rnacentral:rRNA from 1 species